AGUGAACGCUGGCGGUAGGCCUAACACAUGCAAGUCGAACGGCAGCACAGUAAGAGCUUGCUCUUACGGGUGGCGAGUGGCGGACGGGUGAGGAAUACAUCGGAAUCUACUUUUUCGUGGGGGAUAACGUAGGGAAACUUACGCUAAUACCGCAUACGACCUACGGGUGAAAGCAGGGGAUCUUCGGACCUUGCGCGAUUGAAUGAGCCGAUGUCGGAUUAGCUAGUUGGCGGGGGAAAGGCCCACCAAGGCGAGGAUCCGUAGCUGGUCUGAGAGGAUGAUCAGCCACACUGGAACUGAGACACGGUCCAGACUACUACGGGAGGGAGCAGUGGGGAAUAUUGGACAAUGGGCGCAAGCCUGAUCCAGCCAUACCGCGUGGGUGAAGAAGGCCUUCGGGUUGUAAAGCCCUUUUGUUGGGAAAGAAAAGCAGCAGGUUAAUACCCCGCUGUUCUGACGGUACCCAAAGAAUAAGCACCGGCUAACUUCGUG
rnacentral:rRNA from 1 species